AUGCUGGUGACAAGGUUUCCAUGGCAACAGACUGAUGACACAAACAUCAGAUUAGGAUUUAUCCAAGGCAGGAGGAGCGGGAGAUGGGCUGCGAGGGAGCGGCUGCUACUCCAACCCAUCCCUUCGGUGACAGCGCUGGGAAUAGGGAACAUCACUGCUGAACACUCGUCUGUUACCAUGGGAAUGACAGCCGCACAAAUACAGGAUUAUGGCUAUCGCGCAGGCGGAGAAGGGGAAUUCUGAAUAAGGAAAUGGACCAAGCUUUCUGCUUUAACUGGAAUUAGUUGCAAAUAAGUGACCCUGAGUGGCAUCCACAACCAAAUUCUGCAUUAUUUAACUGGAUUCUUACACAGAAAGAUCCCAAAAGCAUCCAUCAUCCUCCACAAGGUGCAUGUAUUUCCCUGCAAGAGGCCCCCGCCCUAGAGAAGGAGGAUGCUCACCUCUGCAUUGCAGUGGCCAGCUGUGACUGCACCCCCUAAAAUGCAGCACCCCCUCCUGAGUAGCUGAACUCAAGGAAGUGAAAGGUUGUGUCCUUGGAGCAUGGAAAUGAUCCAUCAUUUGCCAGCCUGCGUCCUUUAUUCCCUGAAGACACUUCCCUCUUUGCGCAUCUGUUGCUGCUAAAAUUCCUCUCCCAGCCCACGAUUCCCUCUACCAGCUCUUCUUGCUUAUUAGAGAAGACAAAAAGGAUGCAGUGAAUCUGAUCAGAGCGAUCAUAUUUUCUCCAGGCGCUCCUCUGAGUUUAAUUCUAUGUUAAGCAUAUCUUAAACAGUCCAAACAAA